GCUUGUCUCAAAGAUUAAGCCAUGCAUGUCUUAGUGUAAAUAACUCUUAUGAAACUGCGAAUGGCUCAUUAAAUCAGUUAUCAAAUACGUGAUGGUCGCCUACUACAUGGAUAACCGUAGUAAUUCUAGAGCUAAUACAUGCACAAAGGCCCAUUCACGUGGGUUGUGAUUAUUAGAUUCAAACCGGCCUCGUUCUGGUGAUUCAUAAUAAUUGGUCGAACCGCAUGCCCUUGUGGUGGCGGUGAUUCAUCCUUAUUUCUGCCCUAUCAACUUCCGACGGUAGGGUAUUGGCCUACCGUGGCAAUGACGGGUAACGGGGAAUUAGGGUUCGAUUCCGGAGAGGGAGCCUGAGAAACGGCUACCACAUCUAAGGAAGGCAGCAGG
rnacentral:rRNA from 1 species